CCUGACCUUAGGUGAUCCACCCACCUCUGCCUCCCAAAGUGCAGGGAUUGCAGGCAUGAGCCACCGCUCUCCGCCGGAAAGUUAUAAAUCAUGCAACCCCCAGUUAGUGACUGUGGGGCAGUAAAAAACUUACAGAAAAACAAGCUAAGCAGUGGCACGUUAUUGUCUAUGCUUAUUCUUUAGCAAAGUUCAGGACCCUACCAUAAUUCUUACCUGUUCUUGUGAAUGCAGCUUCAAUCUCCACAAAAGAAGGUGGAGGUCAGUUUUCCUGCCUCAAAGUUUAUCUGUAAACUGAAUUCCUCUUGUAAUUAUCUUGGCCUCUGCUCUAGAAUCAGCAAAAAAACAGUUUAGCCUGUGAGAUUUUGCAGAUGAAAUACUGUCACAUUCUGAAGUACUAGAGAUUAGGGCUUCCACAUAUGAAUUUAAGGGGGUUGGAGGAAGGCUAAAUUCAUUUCACACAGGUAGUUUCCAGACGAAGCUGUACUGACAAUAUCCGAGCCUGGCAUAGGGAAAAGGGAUAGGAAUGGGGGCUCCAUGGUGAACAUCUACUGUCUCUUUGCUUUUCCCACUCCUGGUUUAGGAUUUAGCUUUCUCAGGGCUCUCAAAAUCAGCGACUCCUCAAUCAGCUUUCCAGAUGACAAAAUUUUGUUUCUGUUAUCUCCUCUCCCUAUUUGGAUGUAUAUUUUAGUGCUGUUUGAGUGAGAUCUGCGGAGUAUGCAAAAGUAAAUUCUUGUGUUUAACCCUCGAUCUUUACCUGGAAGCAUCGUAAGGCAGCGGUGGUUCCCUGCAUGUGGAAAGCAGUCUGGUUCUGCCUUUGCCUCUCCAGCUCUCAACUCAAACAUUCCUUUCUCAUCGUGGCCUUUCUCUCUGCCAAUCAAAAGAUAAAGCACUCGAUCAGUAGUUAUUGAAGUACCAUAUUCCUGCCCUUGGC
rnacentral:lncRNA from 1 species